UACGUAGGGUGCAAGCGUUAAUCGGAAUUACUGGGCGUAAAGCGUGCGCAGGCGGUGAUGUAAGACAGAUGUGAAAUCCCCGGGCUCAACCUGGGAACUGCAUUUGUGACUGCAUCGCUGGAGUGCGGCAGAGGGGGAUGGAAUUCCGCGUGUAGCAGUGAAAUGCGUAGAUAUGCGGUGGAACACCGAUGGCGAAGGCAAUCCCCUGGGCCUGCACUGACGCUCAUGCACGAAAGCGUGGGGAGCAAACAGG
rnacentral:rRNA from 1 species